GACGAACGCUGGCGGCGUGCUUAACACAUGCCAGUCGAACGGAAAGGCCCAGCUUGCUGGGUACUCGAGUGGCGAACGGGUGAGUAACACGUGGGUGAUCUGCCCUGGACUCUGGGAUAAGCCUGGGAAACUGGGUCUAAUACCGGAUAUGACCUUACAUCGCAUGGUGUUUGGUGGAAAGCUUUUGCGGUUCAGGAUGGGCCCGCGGCCUAUCAGCUUGUUGGUGGGGUAAUGGCCUACCAAGGCGACGACGGGUAGCCGACCUGAGAGGGUGAUCGGCCACACUGGGACUGAGACACGGCCCAGACUCCUACGGGAGGCAGCAGUGGGGAAUAUUGCACAAUGGGCGCAAGCCUGAUGCAGCGACGCCGCGUGAGGGAUGACGGCCUUCGGGUUGUAAACCUCUUUCACCAGGGACGAAGCGUGAGUGACGGUACCUGGAGAAGAAGCACCGGCCAACUACGUG
rnacentral:rRNA from 1 species